rnacentral:rRNA from 1 species
GACGGGGGAUGCAAGCGUUAUCCGGAAUCACUGGGCGUAAAGCGUCUGUAGGUGGUGAUGCAAGUCACUGGUGCAAAACUCUGGCUCAACCGGAGGAAAGCCAGUGAAACUGCAUGACUAGAGUGUGGGAGAGGUAGAAGGAAUUCCCUGAGUAGCGGUGAAAUGCGUAGAUACAGGGAAGAACAGCGGAGGCGAAAGCGUUCUACUGGAACACAACUGACGCUGAGAAGCGAAAGCUAGGGGAGCAAACAGG